AAUAUUUUAUAAGAAUAAUAAUAUUCAAUAAUUUUAAUAAAAAUUUAUAUCAGAUCAAGGUGUAGCUUAUAUUUAAGUAAUAAUGGGUUACAAUAAAUUUAUUUAUAUGAAUAAAAUUAUGAAAAAAUUUUUGAAAGUGGAUUUAGUAGUAAAAUUAUAAAGAUUAAUAAUUUGAUUUUAGCUCUAAAAUAUGUACACAUCGCCCGUCGCUUUUAUUAUUAAGGUAAGAUAAGUCGUAACAUAGUAGAUGUACUGGAAAGUGUAUCUAGAAUGA
rnacentral:rRNA from 1 species